rnacentral:lncRNA from 1 species
GGAAACAUGGCGUGGAAAGAAAGCAUAACAAAACCCCCAAGCAAAACUUUGAAAACCCCAAAGAAAAAUCCCUCGUCCCUUUCUAUCUCAAGUUCUCUAUCAGCAAGUAUCAAUGACUAAUAGUUCAACUCACUAUGUCAAAAACAUAAUCGUUCAUCUACUCGUCUAGCUCUCCACUUUUGCAGGUUCAGUGCCCACUCUCUUCUCCAUUACAUUCUUUGUUGCUAUGAGAAAACACAAAACACUUUUUACUACUCUGAAUUUGAAACAACAUAAAACCCUAAAUUUAAUGUUUGAUCUUUCCUCUUUUUUUUUUUACUUAGCAAACCAAAAGCUACAUAAUAGGGAAAGAAAUAAAGGAUUUUUUUGAAUUAGAGAAGAAUGCUACGGCAAGAGCUUUUUUGACAUGCCUGCCAAAUUCAAAAUGGAGUAUAAUGGAAAAUAUAGUUUUGGUUUAGUCUUCUCUCAGGAUUAAAGAUAAUUAUAUAUCUUGAAGUUGGGUGUUCAUCAAUUUUUGAUAUUUGGUUAUUGAUAAUCCUGAUCUAUGAUGAUAAUCUUAUAUGAGAUUGAUUCAUACUCACCAAGGCUUAGAAAGAUGAUUUUUGCACCUAAUUUUAUGGCCUAUUUCUUUCUUGAAUCAGUGAUUGUAAGAUUUGAUCUUUUGCUAAACUGUUUUACUAUUUUAGAGGCAUGCCGUAUCGAGCUUUUGCUCAUGUUGUAUCUUGUACUUGACUGACUGCUGUCUUGGGUGAAGCAAAGAAGGUCUAUACUAAAUAGUCUUAGAACAUUCAAUCAGAUUUUGUUUCAUUAUACCAUAUAGUAGAGAUUCAGAUUGUGUAUGGUAGAUAAAUAAUGUGUCAUUUUAUUGUGUCAGCUCAUUCCCGUGCUCGUAGAUGGUUUGUCCAUGUUGAGUGAGGAUAUUCUGAAUAAGGAUAUAGUUUACAAUGUCUUACUAAUCUUAUCCGUAAUAAUGAUGGAUAAAAAUGGUAAGGAUGUUUCUUUCAUGUUUGUUAUAAAUUUUUACUUCUCAAAAUAUAUCCUGGCAAUUUAUCUGCAACCUCUACAAGUAUAUUUGAUGUUAUAAGGUUAUUGUAAGGUACCAACUUGACAGUGAAUGGUAGCUAGGAAUGGAAUUUUCUCUCUAAGAAUGAGAUACUCUUUAAUUGAUUUUUCUCUCCUGCUAAAGUGUUUUAAUUCUCAACUCAUGCCUACAGGAUCAGAAGCUGUGGUAGAGAAUGCACAUAUCAUCAUCGGACGCCUUAUUGAGCUUCUCUCCUAGCCCCCAUAUGAUGGUACAAAAUAUUCUACGAGACAUUCAUUUCUUUUGGUACUGAGACAUGCCAUUUGGUUGUUUCCACCCCACCUCCCACACGGGGUGACAGCUCCCGCAGUAGGGAGGGAGAAUACUACUUUGAGGAUGGAAAAUAUAUCCUUGGAAAGGAACACGAUUCUUAAAUAAUCUUGAACAACCAAUGAAUUUGAUAAUGGAAACUUUUAACCGUAGCCACUACUCUUCGGGUUUGCACUCGGUGACCACACCUGGCCGCAAGUGCUUACUUAGAGGCACUUUAUGUAACUUCUGAUUUAAAUGCUCAAUAGACCAUAAAUAUCAAGUUUUGAGAAGUGUUUGAAAUAUUUUUUUGUUAUAUUGGUUCCCAGAAUUUUACAACAUUAUGCUUAUGUUAGAACCGUAGUUUCGUAGAGUCAUAAUCGAAAAAUUAAUCGGAAAACAUGACACGGGUAAUCUCUGUCCUUAAGGUGCCAAAGGUGUUGAUCAUUCAAAUGUAAAGUGAUGAAAGAUCAAAUGCAAUAAUGUUUUUUCAUUUCCUUACGUUUACAUAUUUCACUUGCUCUUUGGUGGGCAUAUGAAGAUCCUGUUGGUGUUGUAAAAUGUAACUUUUGAAUGUUGGUGGUGGGUACACUUGGUGCAUCCUGCAAUUUAUAUUAUAUAUUUAGAGUUUGCAAAGUUUCACAGAAUCUCUAGGUUGCAGGGAUGUUUCUUCAUUUCCUUUGCUUGUUAUUUAACAAAUGUAUAAAGUCUGGUGCUAUUGUAAAUUAACGUUGGUGGUGGAAAGUGUGCAACCAUAUAUUUAUUUUGGUCAUGAUUUUUAUAUUACAAUAUAGUUUAUACCGACUGCUUUUUAAUCCCGAAUUAGUUAAGUUACUGAAAAUGAAUCCUAUGUUGAACCGUAAAAGUAGAGAAACAAUUUUUCCUUUUCUUUGUCCG